GAUGAACGCUGGCGGCGUGCUUAACACAUGCAAGUCGAACGGUGAAGGCGGAGCUUGCUCUGCUGGAUCAGUGGCGAACGGGUGAGUAACACGUGAGCAAUCUGCCCCUGACUCUGGGAUAAGCGCUGGAAACGGCGUCUAAUACUGGAUACGAGCUGCGAAGGCAUCUUCAGCAGCUGGUAAGAAUUUCGGUCAGGGAUGAGCUCGCGGCCUAUCAGCUUGUUGGUGAGGUAAUGGCUCACCAAGGCGUCGACGGGUAGCCGGCCUGAGAGGGUGACCGGCCAAACGGGGACUGAGAAACGGCACAGACUCCUAAGGGAGGCAGGAGUGGGGAAUAUUACACAAUGGGCGAAAGCCGGAUGCAGCAACGCCGCGUGAGGGACGACGGCCUUCGGGUUGUAAACCUCUUUUAGCAGGGAAGAAGCGAAAGUGACGGUACCUGAAGAAAAAGCGCCGGCUAACUACGUG
rnacentral:rRNA from 1 species